rnacentral:rRNA from 1 species
AACGAACGCUGGCGGCAUGCCUAACACAUGCAAGUCGAACGAGACCUUCGGGUCUAGUGGCGCACGGGUGCGUAACGCGUGGGAACCUGCCCUUAGGUUCGGAAUAACUCCCCGAAAGGGGUGCUAAUAUCGGAUAAUGUCUUCGGACCAAAGAUUUAUCGCAUUUGGAUGGGCCCGCGUUGGAUUAGCUAGUUGGUAGGGGAAAAGCCUACCAAGGCGACGAUCCAUAGCUGGUCUGAGAGGAUGAUCAGCCACACUGGGACUGAGACACGGCCCAGACUCCUACGGGAGGCAGCAGUGGGGAAUAUUGGACAAUGGGCGAAAGCCUGAUCCAGCAAUGCCGCGUGAGUGAUGAAGGCCUUAGGGUUGUAAAGCUCUUUUACCCGGGAUGAUAAUGACAGUACCGGGAGAAUAAGCUCCGGCUAACUCCGUG